UUGCUUCAGCAGCAAAUAUAAUAAGAUUAGAAACAAUACAGGAAAGAUUAGCACAGCCCCUGUGCAAAGAUGGCACGCGGGUUUAUGAAGCAUUCCACAUUUUU